CAUCAUGCAAAACAUCAUUUUCCAGUAAUGAGAAUUCAGAAUUCCUAGAAAAGUUUUGUGCAGCAGUGGCUUUAACAUCAUUAUAUGCAUCAAAAUCAUUUGCACAGCACCUCUGAGAUCAACUGGUUUGUAGAUCACUUUUUUGUUGUGGAUGUUCAUAACCAUGUGAAAAUCAAGAUGUUUCUUGUAAGAACAUUUAAAGAAGUGGAUGAUCUGUUGUCCAGUAGUUGUGGCUUGGAGGUGGAGUUUUUUGGAAAAUAUAAAACUUUGAUGUUGGUUUAUGAGGAACAUUAAUUUAUUCCAUAUCAAAACAUCAAAAUGUUGCACUUCUGUUGUGCAAAUUUCCUGUCAAUUUUUAAGAGCCG
rnacentral:lncRNA from 1 species